rnacentral:rRNA from 1 species
GAUGAGCCCGCGGCCUAUCAGCUUGUUGGUGGGGUAAUGGCCUACCAAGGCGGCGACGGGUAGCCGGCCUGAGAGGGUGUCCGGCCACAUUGGGACUGAGAUACGGCCCAGACUCCUACGGGAGGCAGCAGUGGGGAAUAUUGCACAAUGGGCGCAAGCCUGAUGCAGCGACGCCGCGUGGGGGAUGAAGGCCUUCGGGUGUAACUCCUAGGGUUACGG